GCAUCUUUUUUUGUCAAGUCUUUCUCUUCAUUGAACGGUCUCUUGCUUUCUUCCUCACACACUCGACUGCUUUGGCUACAUAAUCCGAUGAAUGAAGGUGUAUCACACCAAUCCAAUGAAUGAGCUCCACACGUGGAUGAGUUUUAGAAACUAACCUGCCGAUUGGAUUAGGUGCAGCGUGUUUCAUUGAAGUAUGGUAUGAUUUUUAGUGUUAACAUUUUUU
rnacentral:misc_RNA from 1 species